rnacentral:rRNA from 1 species
GAUGAACGCUGGCGGCGUGCCUAAUACAUGCAAGUCGAGCGAACAGAUGAGGAGCUUGCUCCUCUGACUUAGCGGCGGACGGGUGAGUAACACGUGGAUAACCUACCUAUAAGACUGGGGUAACUUCGGGAAACCGGAGCUAAUACCGGAUAAUAUAUUUAACCGCAUGGGUCCAUAGUGAAAGACGGGUUUGCUGUCACUUAUAGAUGGAUCCGCGCCGCAUUAGCUAGUUGGUAAGGUAACGGCUUACCAAGGCAACGAUGCGUAGCCGACCUGAGAGGGUGAUCGGCCACACUGGAACUGAGACACGGUCCAGACUCCUACGGGAGGCAGCAGUAGGGAAUCUUCCGCAAUGGGCGAAAGCCUGACGGAGCAACGCCGCGUGAGUGAUGAAGGUCUUCGGAUCGUAAAACUCUGUUAUUAGGGAAGAACAAAUGUGUAAGUAACUAUGCACGUCUUGACGGUACCUAAUCAGAAAGCCACGGCUAACUACGUG